rnacentral:rRNA from 1 species
GUGAGGAAUUUUCCGCAAUGGGCGAAAGCCUGACGGAGCAAUGCCGCGUGAAGGAUGAAGGCCUAUGGGUUGUAAACUUCUUUUCUCAGAAAAGAAUUAUGACGGUAUCUGAGGAAUAAGCAUCGGCUAACUCUGUGCCAGCAGCCGCGGUAAGACAGAGGAUGCAAGCGUUAUCCGGAAUGAUUGGGCGUAAAGCGUCUGUAGGUUGUUUAAAAAGUAUUCUGUCAAAGAUUAGGGCUUAACCCUAGAUAGGCAGAAUAAACUUUUAAGCUAGAGUUUUGUAGAGGCAGAGGGAAUUCCCGGUGGAGCGGUGAAAUGCGUAGAUAUCGGGAGGAACACCAAAGGCGAAGGCACUCUGCUGGGCCAAUACUAACACUGAGAGACGAAAGCGAGGGGAGCAAAUGGGAUUAGAUACCCGAGUAGUCC